UGGCAAUAAAUAUACUUCUAUUUUCUUUUCUUUUUUUCCAAAUUAUCUUGAAUUUAUUUAGGUUGUCCCUAGUUCUUCAUCAACAUUAUAUGGUUCAUCAUCUUCGUAGUAAAAGGUUAUUUUUAAAUUGAAUUAGCCGUAAAAGGGUUUUUUUUUUUUUUUNUUUUUGAGAUAAAAGUCGUAAAAGGGUUUCGAAUACCCCUUAUACUCAUUUUUAUCAAUAGCUUUUCCAAAAAUAUGAAUCAUCAUUUAAAGUACAUCUAAAUUAGAUUCUCGGUUAAGUACGAAAUUCU
rnacentral:lncRNA from 1 species